rnacentral:rRNA from 1 species
CCUACGGGAGGCUGCAGUGAGGAAUAUUGGUCAAUGGGCGCGAGCCUGAACCAGCCAAGUCGCGUGAGGGAGGACGGCCCUACGGGUUGUAAACCUCUUUUGCCGGGGAGCAACGGGCUUCACGUGUGGCGCCCCUGAGAGUACCCGGAGAAAAAGCAUCGGCUAACUCCGUGCCAGCAGCAGCGGUAAUCAGGAGGAUGCGAGCGUUAUCCGGAUUUAUUGGGUUUAAAGGGUGCGUAGGCGUAUCGUUAAGUCAGUGGUCAAAUUGAGGGGUUCAACCUCUUCCCGCCAUUGAAACUGGCGGUCUUGAGUGGAAUAGAAGUAUGCGGAAUGCGUGGUGUAGCGGUGAAAUGCAUAGAUAUCACGCAGAACCCCGAUUGCGAAGGCAGCAUGCUGGCUUCCGACUGACGCUGAAGCACGAAAGCGUGGGGAUCGAACAGGAUUAGAUACCCGGGUAGUC